AGUCGAGCGCGAAAGCACUUCGGUGUGAGUAGAGCGGCGGACGGGUGAGUAAUGCUUGGGAAUCUGCCCAGUAGUGGGGGAUAACGUGUGGAAACGCACGCUAAUACCGCAUACGUCCUACGGGAGAAAGCAGGGGAUCUUCGGACCUUGCGCUAUUGGAUGAGCCCAAGUCGGAUUAGCUAGUUGGUGGGGUAAAGGCCUACCAAGGCGACGAUCCGUAGCUGGUCUGAGAGGAUGAUCAGCCACACUGGGACUGAGACACGGCCCAGACUCCUACGGGAGGCAGCAGUGGGGAAUAUUGCACAAUGGGCGAAAGCCUGAUGCAGCCAUGCCGCGUGUGUGAAGAAGGCUCUAGGGUUGUAAAGCACUUUCAGUAGGGAGGAAAUGCUGUUGAUUAAUACUCAACAGUCUUGACGUUACCUACAGAAGAAGCACCGGCAAACUCCGUGCCAGCAGCCGCGGUAAUACGGAGGGUGCGAGCGUUAAUCGGAAUUACUGGGCGUAAAGCGCGCGUAGGUGGUUUGAUAAGCUAGCUGUGAAAGCCCCGGGCUUAACCUGGGAACUGCAGUUAGAACUGUCUGACUAGAGUACAGUAGAGGGUGGCGGAAUUUCCUGUGUAGCGGUGAAAUGCGUAGAUAUAGGAAGGAACAUCAGUGGCGAAGGCGGCCACCUGGACUGAUACUGACACUGAGGUGCGAAAGCG
rnacentral:rRNA from 1 species